CUCCCUACGGGACGCAGCAGUGAGGAAUAUUGGUCAAUGGAUGGGAGACUGAACCAGCCAAGCCGCGUGAGGGAUGAAGGUACAGAGUAUCGUAAACCUCUUUUGUCAGGGAACAAAGGCGGGGACGCGUCCCCGGAUGAGUGUACCUGAAGAGAAAGCAUCGGCUAACUCCGUGCCAGCAGCCGCGGUAUUACGGAGGAUGCGAGCGUUAUCCGGAUUUAUUGGGUUUAAAGGGUGCGCAGGCGGUCUGUUAAGUCAGCGGUCAA
rnacentral:rRNA from 1 species